UCCGAUGUGGUCUAGUGGCAGGAUAUCUGGCUCUCACCCAGGAGGCCCGGGUUCAAUUCCCGGCAUCGGAA